CUGCUCUGCCCCUUGGACACCACCACCACCACCACUUGGCUCAGCAUAUAACCAUUAUCAUGUUCCGGAGGGCUUGGUGCUUGAUUGGCUGUAGUCGACCAUGGCGGACGAUUAAUUAAACGGGAACUCGCCAAUGUUUACUCUUUAGACGAUGUUUACCUGCCUCGUCCAUCGGAGAGGCUGUUGCACCCAGAAUUAUUGAUCAACUCUGAGAGGAGUGGCGGGGGUGCGUCGGAUUUAAUGGAGGAGCCUCACA